rnacentral:miRNA from 1 species
UUAAUAAAAAGUGGAUGACUGU